UCAUUCGGAUCGGAGUCUGCAACCCGACUCCGUGAAGCUGGAUUCGCUAGUAAUCGCGCAUCAGCCAUGGCGCGGUGAAUACGUUCCCGGGCCUUGUACACACCGCCCGUCAAGCCAUGGGAGCCGGGGGUGCUUGAAGUGCGUCGCCGCAAGGCGCGCCCUAGAGCAAAACCGGUGACUGGGGCUAAGUCGUAACAAGGUAUC
rnacentral:rRNA from 1 species